rnacentral:rRNA from 1 species
CAAUAGCGUAUAUUAAAGUUGUUGCAGUUAGAACGCUCGUAGUCGGAUUUCGGGGCGUUCCGACCGGUCUGCCGAUGGGUAUGCACUGGCCGGAGUGUCCUUUUUGCCGGAGACCGUGCCUACUCUUAACUGAGCGGGGGCGGGAGACGGCACUUUUACUUUGAAAAAAUCAGAGUGUUUCAAGCAGGCAGCUCGCUCUUGCAUGGAUUAGCAUGGGAUAAUGAAAUAGGACUUUGGUGCUAUUUUGUUGGUUUCGAACACCGAAGUAAUGAUGAGAAGGGACAGUCAGGGGCACUCGUAUUCCGCAGAGAGAGGUGAAAUCCUCAGACCCGCGGAAGACGAACCACUGCGAAAGCAUUUGCCAGGGAUGUUUUCACUGA